rnacentral:tRNA from 1 species
CCGAAUGGUAGCUCAGCCUGGUAGAGCACCGCGAACCCGAGACGCCGGUUCGAUCCCGGUCAGACGAG